AGUGAACGCUGGCGGCAGGCCUAAUACAUGCAAGUCGAACGGCAGCACAGCAGAGCUUGCUCUGUGGGUGGCGAGUGGCGGACGGGUGAGGAAUACAUGGGAAUCUGCCCAGUCGUGGGGGAUAACGUAUGGAAACGUACGCUAAUACCGCAUGCGCCCUACGGGGGAAAGUCGGGGACCGCAAGGCCUGACGCGAUUGGAUGAGCCCAUGUUCGAUUAGCUAGUUGGCGGGGUAAAGGCCCACCAAGGCGACGAUCGAUAGCUGGUCUGAGAGGAUGAUCAGCCACACUGGAACUGAGACACGGUCCAGACUCCUACGGGAGGCAGCAGUAGGGAAUAUUGGACAAUGGGGGCGAACCCUGAUCCAGCCAUGCCGCGUGAGUGAAGAAGGCCCUCGGGUUGUAAAGCUCUUUUGUCCGGAAGAAAAGCAUCUGGUUAAUACCCGGGUGUUCUGACGGUACCGGAAGAAUAAGCACCGGCUAACUUCGUGCC
rnacentral:rRNA from 1 species